CCCUUGUACACACCGCCCGUCACACCAUGGGAGCUGACUCAACCAGAAGACGGUCAGGCGAACCGAAAGGAAGCCUCCGGCGAAGGUGGGGUUGGUGACUGGGGUG
rnacentral:rRNA from 1 species